rnacentral:rRNA from 1 species
GAUGAACGCUGGCGGCGUGCCUAAUACAUGCAAGUCGAGCGAACAGACGAGGAGCUUGCUCCUCUGACGUUAGCGGCGGACGGGUGAGUAACACGUGGAUAACCUACCUAUAAGACUGGGAUAACUUCGGGAAACCGGAGCUAAUACCGGAUAAUAUAUUGAACCGCAUGGUUCAAUAGUGAAAGACGGUUUUGCUGUCACUUAUAGAUGGAUCCGCGCCGCAUUAGCUAGUUGGUAAGGUAACGGCUUACCAAGGCAACGAUGCGUAGCCGACCUGAGAGGGUGAUCGGCCACACUGGAACUGAGGCACGGUCCAGACUCCUACGAGAGGCAGCAGUAGGGAAUCUUCCGCAAUGGGCGAAAGCCUGACGGAGCAACGCCGCGUGAGUGAUGAAGGUCUUCGGAUCGUAAAACUCUGUUAUUAGGGAAGAACAAAUGUGUAAGUAACUAUGCGCGUCUUGACGGUACCUAAUCAGAAAGCCACGGCUAACUACGUG